UUCCUACCAAACAAAAAAGUACCGGAAACCGAAAAAUCUUAAUCAUAGAAAACCUUCUACUAAUUUUCAGGUCCAUCUUCCGAAUACCACUAGACUUCUCUUUCUUCAAUCCAUUAUCCGCCGUAUUCCCGCACUAGUAGCCAGUAAGUAAAUGCUAAUCCUCCUCCUACCUAUCCUUCAAUGCAUAAAUAUGAAGGAUAUUUUGGCCUAAUAGUUAAAAUUAAGGUGCUGUAAAUAAUAUGUGAAAGGUUCUAAUCCUAGUUGUUUAUCCAAUAUUAAUAUGGUGGAACGUGAGCAUUUCGUAUUUCGUUGAUGCAAAGAUCCUAUAAUAGAAAUUACAUAUAGUAGUUGUUCGACGUUUUGCCUUGUGAAGAGGUUGUUGUACGAAUCUGAGAAGUUCGGAGAUGAUGGCAUUGAUGGAUCAUUAGAGGCGACACCGGAGUAGCACUGAACUCCAUUAAUCGUGGGCAGCAUAUUGUGUCGAACAAGAGUCAAUCCAAGCAUGAAUAUGACCACUAAUGAUUUCCUCAUGUACAGCAUGUACAAUUUUUCUCCUGUAAAAUAAAAUUGCUGAAAAUUUGGUCAUUCUUAUACUAGUCUUUUUCUAAGGUCCUUUUCAUAUGGGAAAAUUUUCCCCACUGCCUUAAUUGGUAAGUCUAAUAAUGGUAAUGGUGUAGUUUUCUCAAACUUUAUCUGCUUCGUAUAAGUCUGAUUAUAAUUGUAUUAUUAGAUAUUGUGAUUAUCGUAAUGGUUUUUGUGCUUGCUCUUUUGGGCUGACAAUUCUCUUUAAACUUUAUUAUUGAUAAUUUGUUGAUCUUA